rnacentral:rRNA from 1 species
AUGUCUAGGGUUAUGAUUGACCCGAAUCACCCUCCACGCACCGCUCCCUCAUUUUCCCCUUUCCAUGGAUCACACGCGAGAGAGAGAGAGAGAGGAGGCCGAAGGCUGUCGCCGCAGCAUGAAGUAGGAGGCCGGAGACCGCCGCCGCCGCCGCCCCAGCCCGCCCGCUGCUGCAGCAGUAGUUCCGCAGCCGGCGAGCGGCGGGCGCGCGUGGCGGGCGUCGGCGUCGGCGGCGGGCCUUCCUCGCCGCCUGACGGGGUGAGGCUGAACGAGAUCGUCGGCGGCGGCAUCUACGGGGACCUCUACAAGUGGGUCAACUACGGCCGCGGGUGGCGGCCGCGCUGGUUCGCGCUCAGCGACGGCGUGCUCUCCUACUACAAGAUCCACGGGCCCGACCGCAUCGACCUCUUGCGCGACACCGACCGCGGCGCCAAGGUCAUCGGCGAGGACUCGCUCCGCCGCCUCGCGCGCCCCUCCGCCACCCCCUCCUCCUCCUCCUCCGCCUCCGCCCCCCACUCCAACGGCCACGGCCACCACCACACGCCCCGCAAGCCAGCGGCGGUGCUGCAAUGGAGCUCUUGCCGGCGGAUCGAGGUGCUGCGUUGCAGCACUCGCCGACGGCUGUUGAAGCUGCAGUGCAGCGCUCGGUGCUCCAAUGGAGCUCGCCGGCGCUCUCGAAGCUGCAGUGCCGCGCUCGGUGCUCCAUUGGAGCUCUCUCCGGCGGCUCCCGCGGUCGGCGGCGGCUCCGGUGUCGCAGCUGUUGAAGCCCCGCCGGAGUUGAAAUGGAGCUUCGCCGGACGCGCCAGUGCUGCGUGCGCCGUCGGUGCUGCUUUGGAGCUGCGCCCGGGCUGCAAUGGAGCUCGCCGGAGCGUCAGUGCUGCUUUGGAGCUUUGGCCCGGGCUGGAGUGGAGCUCGACCGUAGUUGGAAUGGAGCUUCGCCGGAGCGUCGGUGCCGCGUUGGAGCUGCAAUGGAGCUGGCUGGCCGCGUCGAUGCUACGUUGGAGGCUUGGAGCACUGCGUGAGGUGUGA